rnacentral:tRNA from 1 species
GGCCCCGUAGCUCAAUUGAAUAGAGCAUUUGACUACGGAUCAAAAGGUUUCUGGUUUGAAUCCAGACGGGGUCACGA